rnacentral:tmRNA from 1 species
GGGACUGUUAGGUUUCUACAUGUUAAUAACUUGUUUAGAAGAUUAUGUUUAGUUGCUACAACUAAACCACAGUAAAAAACAAAUGCAAAAAAUCAAAUUAUUCCUUUAUCUCAAAGUUUAAUUAAAGCUUAGUUAGAGUAUUAUAAUAUGUAUAAAUACGUUUAAUUAUUUUUGGGUAUCUGCUAAUAAAAACACGUGUUAGUUGAUAAUUAAAUAUAGUGUUGCUCCUGAAUAACUGGUAAGUUGAAAUAUUUGACAGGUUCAGGUAAAGUUGAAUAUACAAAGUCAAUCUACAUUUUGCCGUAUCUAGUCACUAGAUACCUUCUGAACUAUUUUUAUUAACAUGGACGUGGGUUCGAUUCCCACCAGUUCCA